rnacentral:rRNA from 1 species
GGUUAAGCGACUAAGCGUACACGGUGGAUGCCCUGGCAGUCAGAGGCGAUGAAGGACGUGCUAAUCUGCGAUAAGCGUCGGUAAGGUGAUAUGAACCGUUAUAACCGGCGAUUUCCGAAUGGGGAAACCCAGUGUGUUUCGACACACUAUCAUUAACUGAAUCCAUAGGUUAAUGAGGCGAACCGGGGGAACUGAAACAUCUAAGUACCCCGAGGAAAAGAAAUCAACCGAGAUUCCCCCAGUAGCGGCGAGCGAACGGGGAGCAGCCCAGAGCCUGAA